rnacentral:tRNA from 1 species
GUUGUUGUGGCAGAGCGGUUAAUGCAGAAGACCUAAGCCCUUCCCUCCGAGGGUUCAACUCCCUCCAACAACU